GGGUCAUUUCAAAGAUAGUUUAUGGGACUGAAACCAGGAGCUCUUAAUGCUGUGACCUAAAAUUGAAGUUCUCCUUAGGAUGUGAUAGACACUCAAUAGUGCUAUUUUGUCCUGAGGAGAUAUAGGA
ensembl:snoRNA small nucleolar RNA SNORA25